rnacentral:lncRNA from 1 species
GGACAACCCAGAUCUCAGUUGCGGGGUCCUGGAGGAAGGCCAGCUCCUGGCUCUAGACUGCAGCUCUCCCAGACCCUGGAUCUGUGCCAAGGAGACCAAGUGAUUUGGGUUUCACCUUGCCCAGCCUGUUGGGGGCCAAGGUGAGAUCGGGGGCAGCCUCUUCACCAACCCCAGGGACUGGGACUUCCAGUGCACAGUGGCCCCAUCUGAAGGGAAGAUUUGCUUGGGCCUCAGGUCAAGUGCCAAUUUUGGUCUCCAAUUUGCUGAUAUGUUCCAUCACUUGGGGACGGUUUCUAGCAUGUCUGGGCCUCAGUUUACCCUUCAUUAACAUGGACUUUUCCCUUCUCUCCCUGACCAGCUUCAUCAUACCACCCAUCUUCCAGACCCAGAGGAAGGAGCCAAUCAACAACCACAGAUGAUUCCAGUCUGGGUUCCCUCUUGAUCCCACUGACAUGAGUCUUGCAAGUGAUGUGGCAAAGGGACUUGGCAGGGACUUUGGCAUCAUUGCUCAGGUUCCAUUUCCAGGCAGCUGAUGUACACUGACACAGGUGACCAGCCUGUGACAGUGCCAUAGAAAACCAAGUGGGCGGGCCUGGAGGAGGGCAGGGGAGCUUUCCUUCCCCACCCUGCAAGCUGGAGAGGCUGGUGGACAGUAAGCACCUGCUUGGAGGUCUAGCACGUGGGGCUGGUGGGGGCCCCCAGCUAGCCAGUGCCCCAGGUUGGGAGGAAGCAAUGGGCCUCCUGGGUAAGUAAGGCCAAGAGAGCUCCCCAGCUUGGUAGGCGGACGUUGCUGAGAAGUAUGUUGCUCCAGUGAGGAAAGAAUAAAGAGAAAUGUGGGCAGGUUGGGGACAGCUCUUCCAAGCUGUAGGGGACAACCACCUUGAAAACGUGUUAGGGUUCAGUGAAGGCCUUUGGGCCAGUGGGAGAGCGAGAGGCUGGGCUAGAAGAGUGUGUAGUCUUGAAAGUCUGUCUACACCUCCCCAAACCACUGGAGUCUUAGUUCCACGAUGUGUGUGACCUGUGCAAACCAGCAGUCUCUGCUUGAAGUCAGACCACGCAGGCAGAAAAGCCUUUCUUGAGCAUUUGAACCAGUAACUGCUAUGGGCUGUCUGGGAGAAAGAGAUGGACAGUCACGAAUGGAUGGAACCUCUCACCACUCUUGGGCAGUAACAACAAAAAGGGAGGUGGAAACUUCCCAUCUGCUUGGGAAAUUCUGGCAGCUUGCUCAGUCAGAAAGAGGAAAGAUUAAAACAAAACCCAGUUCUGUGGACUCCAAAGGCCACACUCUUGCUUCUCCAACACACUAUGGAGAAAACCAGGAUGUCAGUGGCCACUGAGGGGGAGGAGGUCCUGAGCUAUCUCACACUCAGGAUCACCCACUGCUUCUGUUAUAUUUUGCUAUAGGUGGCAUUGGCUCAAGCCCCUGGAUAGCUAAAAGUUCCAAAGUGUCCGCUCACUUGGCUUAAAGCAUUGUACUGCCUCCUAGCGGGGGUCUUGGCGCUUCUGCAUAUGUACCUCCUCCAUGCAGCUGCUUGGGUUUCCUCAUGCAAUGGCAGCUCUAAGAAGACCUGUCCCCCAAGAUGGGACAGAAUGAGCUAGAUCUCCUGAGGGCAGCAGUGGAAGUUUCUCAGGGUCCCAUGUGCCAUAUUUUAUUGGCCUAAAUAAGAAACAAGGCCAGCCAACCUCAAGCAGAAGAGAAAUGGACUCCAACUCUUGAAGAACUUUUGGCCUUACCCACCAUCCUCUGGUAUAAAACAGAGCCUUGACUUGCUUUUUAUCAGAAAUAAUUUCCUCGCCCAAGUGUGUGGUAUUUUUUCAAUCUGGGUCUGUCAUGGUUUGUUCUGUGUCCUGCUCCAAAAUAAAAACUGUUCUGUGG